AUAUGUCUUUACAGAACACUUUGUCCUUCCUUCUUAUGAAAGAACAUCACCAUGCAUGGCAGAAGUUGUUGCAACUAUCUACAAGCCGGCUUGGAAAACAGAAAGAAAGGGGGCAACCACUGAAAGGAGUGACUACCCACCCAUCAAGAGCUGGCAAUUCGCUGCUAUUAACCGUGACCGUGAUUCCCAAUCUGCCUGGCAGUUCUUAAGAACAGGACUGCAAUGUCUCAUAUGCAGUAAAAGCGGUUAUAUGCACCCUGGCCUCCAACACUAUACCUGAUGAAUGUACAUUUCUUUGCAACUUUAAUGGAUUUAGCACAAUUAUUCACAGGAAGAAGAUAUCAUCUGCAUAAGACUCUUUCAUUCAGAAUCCUUUACCUAUGGUCUCCAAGGGACUGGGAUGCUUGAUCGUGAAAGGGAAGAAGAAAGUAAAUCGGACAACACCAAGAGGAUAUGAGUCUGAGGAACCUAUGCAUCAUCCUUCCUCUGACUCCAUGAAUAAUAGAGUCAAAGAAUGUGAAGAUGAAACUCUCCUUUUAGAAGAGGGAUUAAUCAGAGAUUCAGAAAGAAGGCAUCAUAUCUGCGUUUAGAAACUGGAUUUCAUCACUGUAGUUCUGAAGUAUUUCAUUACCUCAGGAGACGUGUGUCUUACAGGGAACUCAUUGUUUAAAUAUUUGUCUCUCUGAAGCCUCUCUGUUCCUUCCCACAGUGGUCUGAACUUCAAUUCUUCUUCUUGGACAGGGGUCAGAAACCUGUGUCCUGCUGGACUGCAGCAGUGUAGGGUACAGCUUAGCACCUAGGGCAAAGUGGCAGCAGUGACUUCUAGUUUGAAAUUGCAAAUGUGUGGCUGCUGGCAGCAGCUGUUUUUUUAACACCCUGCCCCUGAAUCGGAAGUCAGCACCCCAGGGCUGUUGCCCCUAUCAUCCGCCCCAACUAUACCAUUGCUGAGCUGGAUCCAACCCACAAAGAGACAGAAUUUGGCCCGUGAAGGUCCAACCCAUCUUGGGGCAACACAAGAGAUUGGGCAGAGCUGUGCCAAACUGUGAGCCCUCCUCCCCCCUACCUCACAAAUAAUCCUGCUGUUCUUUCAGGCCUGUGCUUACCCUCACAGCAGAGGGAUCAGGGAUUUGCAGUGAGAUUAAGCGUGGGCAAUUUGGGUACCACGUACAAUGUACAAAUAUUAAUUCAGGCACAUUAAGGCCUAUGGGCUUGGCUUGGAACCACAGUGAAGACAGAUGCCAAAGUAAAGAUUAAUAAGUACUGAAGAUUUUAAAGACAUGAUUUUCAGCUGGGUCUCCAUUUUUUGGCUGUAGUAACUAUACCCAUAUUUUCUCACUUUCAAGGAAUUGUGGGUAUACAUUUUAGUCUGAAAUUUAACUACUUAUUUUAUGAUCACAAAAGGGCUGUUGGAUGCCUGAUGACUAGCAUAUAUAGCUGCAAUUUAAUGCAACCCCCUCCACUCACACAGGCUGCAAAAAUUAAGAUCUGGUUGAGGUCCACUGAAAUCUUUAAGACAGAGAGAUGUCUGGAAUGUAAUUAUCUUGUGGCAAAUUUGUAGAUAAAUAAAUACAAUAUGAAAAUUA